CUCGGUUAUAUCUACGAAUCUUGAAUGAAUAUCCACACAUCGAGUACUUCUCUGCUUUCAACAGUAUCUACAACAACACUGGCCUUUUCGGAAUUCAGGCAACCACUAGUGGAGAAUAUAUUUCCGAAGCUGUUGAUUUGGCAGUAAGGGAGCUUCUUCUAAUUGCAACCCCUGGACAAGUUGAUCAGAAACAACUAGAUCGUGCCAAAGAGGCUAGCAAGUCAGCUGUUCUGAUGAACCUUGAAUCUAAAUUGUUAGCCUCUGAAGAUAUUGGAAGGCAAAUCUUGACAUACGGAGAGAGGAAACCUAUAGAGAAGUUCCUGAAAGACGUCGAUGAGGUUUCGUUGGAAGAUAUCAGUAGCCUUUCCAAAAGGAUAAUUUCUUCACCUCUCACAAUGGGAUCUUACGGAGAUAUUCUCAAUGCCCCAAGUUAUGAAUCAGUCAGUCGGAAGUUUCGUUCGGAUUGAUUCGAUUAGCUGACUGUGUAAAGUUAUCUUGUUGCAUUUUUGGAUCUCCUCUAGUAUGAUCAUUGUCC
rnacentral:misc_RNA from 1 species